rnacentral:rRNA from 1 species
UGCGAGUCUGAGCAUUAGCUCGGCGUACCGCUCAGUAACACGUGGGUAACCUGCCCUAUCGUUUUGAAUAACCUCGGGAAACUGAGAACAAUACAUCAUAGUCCACUACGCCUGGAACGGUGAGUGGAUGAAGGUAGGAUGGGCCUGCGGCGUAUCAGGUUGUAGGGGGUGUAAUGGACCUCCUAGCCAUCGACGCGUACGGGUGUUGGGAGACAUAGCCCGGAGAUGGAUUCUGAGACACGAAUCCAGGCCCUACGGGGCGCAGCAGUUACGAAAACUUGGCAAUGCGGGAAACCGUGACCAGGGAACUCCAAGUGAGUCUCUUUUAGGGGCUCUUUUCUUGACUCUAAAACGGUCUUGGAAUAAGGGGUGGGUAAGGACGGUGCCAGCCGCCGCGGUAAUACCGGCGCCUCAAGUGGUCGUCGCUUUUAUUGGGCCUAAAACGUCCGUAGCCGGUUUGGUACAUUCGUGGGUAAAUCAGCUCGCUCAACGAGUUGAAUUCUGCGAGGACGGCCAGACUAGGGACCGGGAGAGGUGUGGGGAACUCUCAGGGUAGGGGUAAAAUCCUGUCAUCCUGAGAGGACCACCUGUUGCGAAGGCGCCACACUAGAACGGAUCCGACGGUCAGGGACGAAGCCUAGGGGCACGAACCGGAUUAGAUACCCGGGUAGUCCUAGGUGUAAACGCUGUGGACUUGGUGUUGGGGAAGCCCAGAGCUUUCCCAGUGCCGUAGCGAAGGUGUUGAGUCCACUGCCUGGGGAGUACGGUCGCAAGGCCGAAACUUAAAGGAAUUGGCGGGGG